rnacentral:rRNA from 1 species
UACGAAGGGGGCUAGCGUUGUUCGGAUUUACUGGGCGUAAAGCGCACGUAGGCGGAUCGAUCAGUCAGGGGUGAAAUCCCAGAGCUCAACUCUGGAACUGCCUUUGAUACUGUCGAUCUGGAGUAUGGAAGAGGUGAGUGGAAUUCCGAGUGUAGAGGUGAAAUUCGUAGAUAUUCGGAGGAACACCAGUGGCGAAGGCGGCUCACUGGUCCAUUACUCACGCUGAGGUGCGAAAGCGUGGGGAGCAAACAGG